rnacentral:tRNA from 1 species
GCGGCCGUGGUGUAGCUGGUUAACACAGCCCCCUGUCACGGGGCAGACCGCCGGUUCGAGUCCGGUCGGCCGCG